rnacentral:rRNA from 1 species
CAGCAGUGGGGAAUUUUGGACAAUGGGCGAAAGCCUGAUCCAGCCAUGCCGCGUGCGGGAAGAAGGCCUUCGGGUUGUAAACCGCUUUUGUCAGGGAAGAAAAGCGCCAGGCUAAUACCUUGGCGUCAUGACGGUACCUGAAGAAUAAGCACCGGCUAACUACGUGCCAGCAGCCGCGGUAAUACGUAGGGUGCAAGCGUUAAUCGGAAUUACUGGGCGUAAAGCGUGCGCAGGCGGUCGUGCAAGACAGAUGUGAAAUCCCCGGGCUCAACCUGGGAACUGCAUUUGUGACUGCACGGCUUGAGUGCGGCAGAGGGGAAUGGAAUUCCGCAUGUAGCAGUGAAAUGCGUAGAUAUGCGGAGGAACACCGAUGGCGAAGGCAAUUCCCUGGGCCUGCACUGACGCUCAUGCACGAAAGCGUGGGGAGCAAACAGGAUUAGA